AUAUAUACGAGCCAUCUCGAAAUAACAAAUAAUUAUACAUAUAGUUUCUCUUGGCCUAAUCAAUUCUAUGCAAGAGAUUAUUGACAACAACCAUGCAUAAGCCUCCAUUCGGAUUGUGUUGCCAAUUAAAACAAUCAAUGCACAUGUCAACUCUCUUCCUCCUUCCUCCUCUCCUUCUCCUCCCUCUUUCUUCUUCUUUCCAAUUCUUCCAUAUCUAUCCAUAUCCUUCCAUCAACAAAAAAUUUGCAUAGUAAAAGUUGCAUCAAAAUUAGAAAGAAAGUUAAGGCUCUUAAGCCUCUAUUAUUAAAGCAAUCAAUACUUCUAAUUCCUAGCAAGAAACACCCCAUCUCUUCUACCAUUCUAAAAGAGAAGAUCUAAGAAAUUAUAUAAUUUAAUCAUAUUUUUCUCAAUAAGAAUCACAAACUACAAAUUUAGCCAUUACUUUAUACUAGAG
rnacentral:lncRNA from 1 species